UACGGGGGGAGCAAGCGUUGUUCGGAUUUACUGGGCGUAAAGGGCGCGUAGGCGGCGUGGUAAGUCAGCUGUGAAAUCUCCGAGCUUAACUCGGAACGGUCAGCUGAUACUGCUGUGCUAGAGUACAGAAGGGGCAAUCGGAAUUCUUGGUGUAGCGGUGAAAUGCGUAGAUAUCAAGAGGAACACCUGAGGUGAAGACGGGUUGCUGGGCUGAUACUGACGCUGAGGCGCGAAAGCUAGGGUAGCAAACGGG
rnacentral:rRNA from 1 species